GGCCUGUGAUGCGUAAGAUUGUCCGUACCAUCUGAGACGACCGUCUCUGAUCGACACUCCGUCUUCUCUAGCUUUCUGAGGCCU
rfam:Eucalyptus grandis cultivar BRASTZ1 unplaced genomic scaffold scaffold_1, whole genome shotgun sequence.